UUAGAGUUUGAUCCUGGCUCAGGAUGAACGCUAGCGAUAGGCUUAACACAUGCAAGUCGAGGGGCAGCACGGUGUAGCAAUACACUGGUGGCGACCGGCGUACGGGUGCGUAACACGUAUGCAACCUACCCGCUAUUGGGGGAUAACCCGGCGAAAGUCGGACUAAUACCCCAUAUUAUUCUUACCGGGCAUCCGGUAGGUCUGAAAGAUUAUCGAUUGCGGAUGGGCAUGCGGAUGAUUAGCUAGUAGGUGAGGUAACGGCUCACUUAGGCGACGAUCAUUAGGGGUUCUGAGAGGAAGGUCCCCCACACUGGAACUGAGACACGGUCCAGACUCCUACGGGAGGCAGCAGUGAGGAAUAUUGGUCAAUGGGCGCUAGCCUGAACCAGCCAAGUCGCGUGAAGGAAGACAGAUCUAUGGUUUGUAAACUUCUUUUGCAGGGGAGUAAAGUGCGACACGUGUGUUGUAUUGCAAGUACCCUGUGAAUAAGCAUCGGCUAACUCCGUGCCAGCAGCCGCGGUAAUACGGAGGAUGCAAGCGUUAUCCGGAUUUAUUGGGUUUAAAGGGUGCGUAGGCGGGUUAUCAAGUCAGCGGUGAAAUUUUUCGGCUUAACCGUAAAAUUGCCGUUGAAACUGGUGAUCUUGAGUGCGAGCGAGGUAGGCGGAAUGUGCCGUGUAGCGGUGAAAUGCAUAGAUAUGGCACAGAACUCCGAUUGCGAAGGCAGCUUACUAGUACGCUACUGACGCUGAUGCACGAAGGCGUGGGGAUCAAACAGGAUUAGAUACCCUGGUAGUCCACGCAG
rnacentral:rRNA from 1 species